UUGAACAGAAGAGCAUGCACUAGACUGGCAACACAAUACUCUGCUGCUGGUUCCUGGUCAUUGGACUUGAAACCUGCAGUAAGAGGUUGGUCAGUGGGGAAUGCAUGACCACGCAGAGGUACUUUGGCCGCUAUUGGUGUUGGGCCUGGCCCUAAAUAGGCUAGCAGACAUGGCUGUGAGGAAUGGGUGGAAAAGUGACUGAGAGUAAUGUGGGUCAAGCUGGGAUAGGUUUGAGAAAGGGCUGGCAGCUGGGAGUUUUCAGCUUUCUUUUAUGGUGAGAAAAGUUGAUAGUUGGAUUGGAUGUUUUAGAGGAGCACAGCGGUUAGGAAGUUCUCAGAAUUGCAUUGCAUAUGAAUUGUUCUCAAUCUUCGGCAUGUGUUGAGGGUUGAAUCACUCACUUCAUUUAAGUGUCUUCCUGCCUUAUACAAAGGGCUUUGUGUCUAAUCAGGCCCACUUCCUUUCUGGAUAUUCCACAAAGCCACUGGCAGAGUCUCAUCAGGGCUGGCACUUCAUGUUAGGGUUAUUGUUGUGCUUUUCUAGACUUCUCUAGAAUCAGAGGUGCAGAAAGAGAUGUAGGGAAUCUGUGGUGCUGAGGUAGCCCCAAACAAUAUGAUAUUGGAGGAAAAGAGCCCUCCUGAUUCCAAUGGAGAGUGCCAAAACUGCUGCGAUGACUCAAUGGGACUGUCAGAAAAGGAGCUUGAAUGUGAAUUUGCAAACGGGCCUUCCUGCUGGAAUUUACUGUGAUGUUAUUUCUGGGCAAAAGGAAGGUGACCGCUGUACAGGAAUACAGGUGCAGGUUGUAGGUGACGGCACUGCUAACUUCCAGAUUAGUAACCAGGCUGAAGAUCCUUUCAUUGCAAUUCAUGUUGAUGCUACAUUGUAAUCCAUGCAAGAAUGAAUGAUUCUCUGUAUAACAUCUCUAGCAAGGAAUAAACUGUCUUGGCACAAAAGUCAUAUUUUUUUUAGUCUCAUUAAUGAAAUACUGUGUCAGUGCUGUAAUAGUAUUACAGAAUAAGUAGCACUGAUACAAUUUUUUGAGAUGGUAUAACAGGCCUACACAUAUGGUUCAUUUUAAAGACAACUUCAUUUUAUGUCACAUGAAGACAGUAAAGGAGAAAUUAAACCAUGAAUUGAGAUGAUUUUACUGUUGUAAUUCCAAAACUCAGGAAGGCAGACAAACAGACACACACACACAGUAUAGGUGAAGCUUGUAACAGCACCUAUUACAGCCGGCUGAAAAAAUUGAUGUUUUUGGUUUGCUGGCAAUGCAAAAGGAUUGAAAAAGAUCUUGUUUCACAUCAAACCUGUGACCUUCUGUACCUCAAAGUGGCACUCUGAAACCCCCAUAUUCACUACUGUCAUAUAACUGUAUGUUUUGUACAAAAUAUGCCUUGUGAGGUAUCGGUCUUGAUCUGUUGAACAAUAAUAACCUGUUGGAUUUUAUGUACUAUCCUUGUAUAUGAAGUUAUAAAGUAUUACUACAUAUGUUACAGAAAUAUGUUGUGAGGUUAGGAACACCCACAACCAAAGAUGUGGCUAUUGAUGGCGACUUGGCAUUAAUGGCUCAUCAACACAUAACCUAGAGACUUCUCUGAGGAGGCACAUAUGCCAUGGGGGCAGACUAACCUGCAUCAUAGCAAUGAUCUUUGCAGCAAGCUGGAAGAAAAGAAAAAUAGUGACAUCAUCACUUGGCCUCUCCCUCCCUCCCCCCCCACCCCUUGAGCUCAACACCUGGAGGAAUGUCUGAUUAAGGGUGGUCUCAAGCUGGAAGGUAGUCCCAGCAUGAGUACUGGUGAGCUGUAACCUGCUUGUACCAUCUGUCAGGGUAAGAUAUUGUUUGCUUCAUCUCUUGCUUAGAGUAAAAGUUAGGAUUUAAAAUAUGUUUACUUUUUAUUUUCUUAAUGUAAUCUCUGAUCUGUAUGCCUAGAAUAAUCACGUAAACUCUAUCUUUCUGUAGUUAAUAAACCAAUUUUAUAUUUUACUUAAAA